UCUUUCAGCUUCUCCGUUUCGUCUCCUUUUGUUCUCCACUGCCCAUUUUUGGUUUCAAGUGUUUUAUCCACCGCCCUGAGUUCACUGGAAAUUCUAUAAAGUAAUCAAAACCCACACGUUGACAUCCCAUCCAAACACCAGGCUCGCUCCCCGCACGGUCCCCUCGUCCCCGGUGUAUGCCCCCGCCGUCGUGUUUGUGACCUAGACACGUUUAUGACCGAGCCCAGUUGAAUGAGGUUAUUUUCUUUAGCUACGCCGAAGUCGCGGGAGAGGCAGAAAACCUCCGUGAGAGGAGGUGGAGGAAAGGCAGCCUGCGUCCUUGGCCCAUGUAGAAAGGAAUACGAGAACAGGUCUGGAAAGUGCUACCUGGCCCCGGGUGCUAGGAGGCAGAAGCAGGCUCCCGUAAACCGGCUCAGAAAGGAGGCGAUACCCUGAGAUAAGGACAGCGAUAACUUCACAUUAUUGGGGGCAGGUGGCAGGGGACAGACGUUCGUCCAGCAACCCUUGCCAGGUACCUACUAGAACCCUCUCAGUGCCUACACAGCACAACCAUCAUAAAGGGUGGAGGUUAUUUUGAGGAUAAUGUUGACCUGAAGAGAAGUACUUUUCCAAUCAUCUCAUAUUGAAAGAAAUCGGGAUUUGGCAACAAGAAUUAUCCUCUUUGUGGACUUCUGCAGCUACUCCGUAAACUAGACUUAAAAAGAGCUUCAUUAAUAUAAAUAAUCAACUAUGUGAUUGGCAUAUGCAGUGAAAAAGGAAGAUGGGCA